rnacentral:tRNA from 1 species
CCCUGGUAGAGCCUAGUUGGUAGAGCGCCCAACUGGAAAUGGAGAGGUCUCUGGUUCGAUACCAGGACCAGGUG